rnacentral:rRNA from 1 species
CCUACGGGUGGCAGCAGUGGGGAAUAUUGGGCAAUGGAGGCGACUCUGACCCAGCAACGCCGCGUGAAUGAUGACGGUCUUCGGAUUGUUAAACUUCGUGUUUCGGGAUGCACACAAUGACGCUACUCCAAUAGCCAGCCACGGCUAACUACGUGCCAGCAGCCGCCGUAAUUCCGAGGUCGCAAGCUUUAUCCGGAAUGACUGGGGUUAAAGGGUUCGUAGGUGGUUUAGUAAGUUAGUGGUGAAAUUCCGGGGGCCAACAUCGGUGUUACCGCCGAAACUAUUAGACUCGAGUGCGGGAGAAGUAAGUGGAAUGCGUGGUGUAGCGGUGAAAUGCAUAGAUAUUAGGAAGAACACCGGGGGCGAAGGCGACAUACUGGAGCGUAACUGACGCUGAGGCACGAAAGCGUGGGGAGCGAACAGGAUUAGAUACCCCGGUAGUC